UACGUAGGGUGCUAGCGUUGUUCGGAAUCAUUGGGCGUAAAGCGCGUGUAGGCGGUCCGGUAAGUCCGCUGUGAAAGUCGGGGGCUCAACCCUCGGAUGCCGGUGGAUACUGUCGGGCUUGAGUACGGAAGAGGCGAGUGGAAUUCCUGGUGUAGCGGUGAAAUGCGCAGAUAUCAGGAGGAACACCAAUUGCGAAGGCAGCUCGCUGGGACGUUACUGACGCUGAGACGCGAAAGCGUGGGGAGCAAACAGG
rnacentral:rRNA from 1 species